rnacentral:rRNA from 1 species
GCCCGACCGUCCACACCAAACCCCUGUGCACCUUUCUCGACGGGAAACGCGGCCCUCGCGGUCGCCGAGUACCGUCGCCGAUUCACAAACGCUUUGUAAACGUACGCAGAAUGAACACGCGGUGCUCCGCGACUAAAACGAAAAACAACUUUCAACAACGGAUCUCUUGGCUCUCGCAUCGAUGAAGAACGCAGCGAAAUGCGAUAAGUAAUGUGAAUUGCAGAAUUCAGUGAAUCAUCGAAUCUUUGAACGCACCUUGCGCCCCUUGGCAUUCCGAGGGGCAUGCCCGUUUGAGUGUCUUGAAUUCAUCCUCCCGCCGGUUUCGCGACCGGGUCGGGCAGGGACUUGGGGGUUUGCARCCGCGCGAGCGGAGGCUCCCCUCGAAUGGAUCGGUGGGAUUUGCAGGGUCGCAUCCCUUGGGCGUUGUAUUGUCCUCGUCCGCAGCGGAUUGCCCCGGCGUCGCCCGCCUCGACCUCGCCUUUGGAGAGGCGGUCAAUCAAUUUCUGAAAUCUGACCUCAAAUCGGGUAGGACUACCCGCUGAACUUAAGCAUAUCAAUAA